rnacentral:rRNA from 1 species
GACGAACGCUGGCGGCGUGCUUAACACAUGCAAGUCGAACGGAAAGGCCCUGCUUUUGUGGGGUGCUCGAGUGGCGAACGGGUGAGUAACACGUGAGUAACCUGCCCUUGACUUUGGGAUAACUUCAGGAAACUGGGGCUAAUACCGGAUAGGAGCUCCUGCUGCAUGGUGGGGGUUGGAAAGUUUCGGCGGUUGGGGAUGGACUCGCGGCUUAUCAGCUUGUUGGUGGGGUAGUGGCUUACCAAGGCUUUGACGGGUAGCCGGCCUGAGAGGGUGACCGGCCACAUUGGGACUGAGAUACGGACCAGACUCCUACGGGAGGCAGCAGUGGGGAAUAUUGCACAAUGGGCGGAAGCCUGAUGCAACAACGCCGCGUGCGGGAUGACGGCCUUCGGGUUGUAAACCGCUUUCGCCGGUGACGAAGCGUGAGUGACGGUAAUGGGUAAAGAAGCACCGGCUAACUACGUG